rnacentral:lncRNA from 1 species
UAAAAUAUACAAUGACAGAUUCUGAACUUGCUAGGGCAGAAACUUCUACCGAGCUAUCGCUAUGAAGUAAGCUCGAUGGUCCCUUGCGCGGGAGCUCAGUGCAUAAACUACCGAAUACAGGCACUGUCCGAGUUAAGGCAUACCUGCGUGAAAAUGCAGCCGCAACCACAUUUUUCUUACCUUGUUUGUAGCGAAUGACAUAGGGAAAAGAUCUCAAUGAACUCAACCAAUCGAGCAUGCCUCUUGUUCAAACGUGUGUUGGCUUUCAAAUGUUUCAAGGAUCAUGAUCAGUACGAAUCACAAACUGCCUUGGCCUAGUAGUUUUUUUUGGGGGGGGUUGCCAAGUCCCAAAACUCGAACCAAUGCAUACAAUUCUUUGUCAUAAGUGGGGGGUAGUUAAGUGCAGCCCCGCUUAGCUUCUGCUAAAAUACGCAAGUGGUCUCCCCUCCUGCAUAAGAAAAACACCUAUACCCACACAAGAAACAUCACAUUCUUUAAUUUAAAUAUUUUAGAAAAAUUAGGUAAAGCAAGUAAAGGAGCAUGAGUAGCUUAUAUUUAAUAAGAUGAAACGCUUUAUAUUGUUCUUCACCCUAUUUGAAAAUAACAUUCUUCUGUGUAACUUCGGUAGGCAAGAAAAUCAAGCUGGUAGCGUUUAUUCCUUGUUACAUGAGUACAAUCAUUGGCCGCUUGGAAAUUAAUGCUCUCUUAACCUCACUUGUUUUUGCUGAUUUUUUUUUGUUUUCUCUCUAAAGCCUCACUAUUCUUGUUUCACUCGUCAUUCUUUUGUUCUCUCAAUUCUUUUGAUCACUCAAAUUUUUGUUAACCUCACUUGCCCUCAUAUACUUAUUUUGGUUGUCAUCAGAACUAGAGGCGGGUUUUUGAUUGACAUGAACUGUAUUGGGGGGGUGUGGUAAAACCAUAUGCUGUACACGCCAAUCAAUGCCAUGGUCUUCCUAGAGAAGAUGCCCAAUUGCAGUGGUACCGACGUUGCACACACCUUGUUUUCAUAUUUACCAAUUCGAAUGGUACAACAACUUGCUUUGUACCCUCACUUCACCACUAUUAUUUACCCUUGCAAUGUAUAUUGGCGAGGGUGGCUUAAGUGUCGUAAGCCCUAGUUUUUCAACCAUGAAGUCUCUAGCGACAUUAGUGGCAUCACCACUAUCCCAAUAACACUACAUAUCUUUCUUUCCGUUACAACGGUGGUGAAAAAAUGCUCUCCUCUGUACUUCUUUUCCUCUUUAACUUGCAAGCUUAAGGCUCGUCCGCGACUACCUAAGCAAUCUCGCCAUGAUCAACCCCAACUCCUCAUCUCCCAUAAGAGAUUCCUCCAAGGUGGCUCUCAGCACAAUCAAGGCUCAUCCUCGGAUACAAAUUCACCAUUCUCCUGAUCACCAUAACUCGCUUUUUUGGGUUUUUGGACAUUGGCUAGCUAUGUGUCCUCUUCCCUGACAUUUGAAGCAUUUAAUCCACUUAGAAUGAAGUCGAGGUAGAGGCGGGUUUGCCUUGAGAGGCGGUGGUUGGUGGUGCAUUUUUUGGGCUUAGAUUUGACAUUAGAAGUGAGGUUUUCUUCUUUCUUUGGUAUUCGACCUCCAGGUUCUGAACUAAAAGUUUGUGUGACUGAUUUUGGCCGUGUACCACCCUUCUUGAGUUGCCUCUCUACCUUUGAUUGCCAUAUGCACCAAAUCUUUCAAUUUCACAUAUGGUGUAUCUCGAUCGUGUUAGCAUCGCUCUGAUCAAAACCAUUCAAACAUCUAGCCAUGUGCCUCCCAUCCUCCUCCACAUUGGCUCUAAUCAUAACCAUCCUCCAUCUCUUUAUAACUCGUCACGCUCUGGUACCUUAGAUGAGGCCUGCACUUAAGUAGAGAUCCCGGUAGUAGUGACUUGGUACAAAUCGUCGUCUCAGGACUCUCUUCAUCUCAUUCCAAGUUCAAUAGGACGUUCUCAUUCCACCUCCUAUUGGAUGACCAAAACUUGAUCCCACACACAAUAGCAUAGUCAGUUAAAAUUCGGAUUGCGGCAAGCUGUUCUACCUUCUUAAUUCUGAGUAAUUGUGACAACAAAAAUCAACUCCAUCUUAUUUCCCAAUGAGGUAUGCUCGAGAUCACUUUUCCUUGAAAAGCAGGAAUCUUUAUCUGAUACUUCCUAGGUUGUGAUCAAACCACGGUGUCUAGCUCCUCAUCCCUGCCAUAUAUCCGUAGCUGCCCACUGAACAUCCUAUCUAUUCCUCCUCUAUACGUCCCUUCAAACUCAUCCAAAUAUUCCAAUUCUCUUUGGUGACAAUCUACCUCCUAUGGGACAUUUGGAGCAAAGUGGUGGCUGCACCGUUGUGUUCCCUCUUCUGCCCAUAUCCAACCUCUCGUGUAUAUGCUCUAACUCUGCAUCAUCAUCCGUCUAAUCUCCCCAUUAUGCUUGUAUUUGUUAGAUUCGGAACACUGUGGGGGAGUUCUUCGCGUGUGAUUUUCUCUUGAUUUCGAGACAUGAUUGAGAUCUGCAACAAGGGUUAGAUAAUAGGGAAAGACCUCACUACACUCCCUUACGUUUUCACUCGAAAGGAUGAUACACCUCGAUUUCUCUCUAGUAUUUUGCCUCAAUUAAUUUUUGACUUUACCUCUUAUAUUCUCACACACCGCCUUUUUCCACUCAUAUUAUUCUUUUAGUCCUUUAAUGCUUAACUACUAACAAAAAGGAUUCAAGUAGCCAAUCAAGAUAAGAAUAAACCAAACGAAUCAGAUUUCCUUUAAGCAAUUCUUUUUCGACUUUUUUUUUGACUCUAACGUGAUGCAAACGAAUUCAAGAGUCAUCCAAUACAGAAUCCAAAAACUAAACCGAAAUCUUAAUCAAGAACGAAGAAAGGGAGCAAUCAAAACAUUUUUUUUACUCUAGCUUGAUGCUGGUCGAAUCAAAGAAUAACCCAAAACAAAAAACCAAACUAAUUGAAACGAAAUUCUCAAUCAAGAACGAAGAUAAGGGAGCAAUCUAACCAAUUUUUUUACUCUAACUUGAUGCAGUUGAUCAAAGACAAUCCGAAACGAGAACCCAAAACAAAUUGAAACCCGAAAUCUCAAUCAAGAACGAGAUAAGGAAGCAAUCUAACCAAUUUUUUUUUUUGAAUCUGGCCAUAUAAAGACUCGAUUUAACAAGAAAAAUCAGAAGAAUGGGCAUGUCAAGAAGAAAAAAAAAUUGAUAGACAAACUGAGGAAUGUAGGGAUCUGAUACCAACUGAUACGAACCACGCACAACGUGACGAAACUCGAUACCAAUCUUAAACAACAAAACCCAAAACUCUUCAAGUUUGAUGGAAAACGCGGGACUGUUGCUUAGCCCAAAGCAAGAACCUUGGUAUGAUGAAGACGCCACAACGGAAUGGAUGAUCUGUUUGAUAAGUCAGGUUUGAACGCCACAAGGAAUCCUGAUAAGUUCAGCUUAGUUUCUGAAAGAGUUCAAGAAGAAAUAAACGCCCAAUCUCUCUAUUUUUACGUGAUUUUCGAAAUUGAUAGCAUACCCUUGUUAUAGCCUUACAAGAUAAAAAAAUCUAAUUUAUCUUAUCUCAACUUAUCUUAAUAAAAGAAAUUUCUAGUUCAAAUUAAGGUUGUCUUUGGAGAUAAGUCAAAUCUGAUCUUAUCUCCAAUCUAAUGAUAAUCCUAAUCAAAAUCUACAUCGAAGAAAUACAAAGAAGUUAAAUCCUAAUCUGAUAUUUAAACUUUUCUGAAUUUGAAAAUUCUGGACUUUGUAAACAAUCAUGCUUGAUUCUUUGCUAGUAAAAAAAACAAAAAGAAAAGGGAGAACACAUCCCUCCGUUAAACCAUGCCCCCGUCGUACAUACCACUACACCCCCAUAACCCCGCACCCAGCUAAACUUCAAUCUUCUUUUAUUCACUUCUCAGCAAACCCCCCCCCCACCUGAUCCCUCUUCCCAUUUCCCGUUCCCGACCCGAUCCCCCCACAUACAUUACGCAUUCCCCUCCUCUCCUCCCUCUCCUAGCCCCUCCUCACCGCCCCCCCUGCCCCCCCCUCCCACCCCCCAUCCCCCCCAUCCACCCCUCCAACCAAUCACCCUCUACAUCGCACCCCACUACGCAUCGCCCAUCAUCAGUCAUCCUGUUCUCAACUUCAUUCCUCUCCCUAUUACCUUUCACCACUCUUGCCCCCCCUCGCAUCCCCCCCUCCUCCCUUUCCCUUCUUUCACCUCUCCCGCCCCCCUUGACUCCCACUCUCUUCCCCCUCUCUCGACUCCCAGCUCAUCCCCCGCUCGUCACUCCCUACCGACCCUCUGUUGCCUUAUUAUUACCCCCAUCCAACGCUCCCUAUUCCCACCACCCCCGCCUCCCUUUCUACUAAACCACCACUUCCAUCCCCUACCCUCCUCCCACAUUCACCUCUAUCUUCCCCCCCAAAUUCCCCCUUGCACAUGUAAGCGGAGGGGUUCUCUCCCGAAUCGAAUUUGAGUAGUAAACCAAACUUUUUAACUCUCAGUAGUGAACAUACUUUCUUGUUGCUUGUACUCUCCGGACUAAAGUAUUCAGAUCUUCUUGAUCUCUUAGCUCGAGCUCUCGUCACCGGGACCAAUUGGAGCUUGAAUCGGACCAUGAGCUUGAUGUCCUCCAUCAAACCGCGCUAGAAUGUUGAAGGAGGCGCAAUAGAUAACCGCCGCCCGGAGGGAGUCAAGGGGACAAAAGAUAACUUGAGUAGAGUGUUUCUUUGACAUCCCCAUGCUCGAAUUGAGAAGAUAGCAACAUGAUGACAGACUAUCAGCUAGGCCCUAGGAGCACGGCUGGGUCAGUCGUCUACUCACUGACACAACAAUCGAUGCAUCUCGCAUCGAGCUGCAGUCUAUCUAGUGACAAAACAGUUAGCACGUCAAGGCUCUCGCUGAUCUAUGUCAUAUAAAGCCAAUCUUUAUUUUCCUAAAAGGUACGCGAAUUCAAUCUUUAGAAGCACCACACAACAAAUCUUUUACCUACGUUUUUCGUAUCGGACUUGGACCCCCUCGGGAGGUC